GGUUAAGCGACUAAGCGUACACGGUGGAUGCCCUGGCAGUCAGAGGCGAUGAAGGACGUGCUAAUCUGCGAAAAGCGUCGGUAAGGUGAUAUGAACCGUUACAGCCGGCGAUGUCCGAAUGGGGAAACCCAGUGUGAUUCGUCACACUAUCGUUAACUGAAUACAUAGGUUAACGAGGCGAACCGGGGGAACUGAAACAUCUAAGUACCCCGAGGAAAAGAAAUCAACCGAGAUUCCCCCAGUAGCGGCGAGCGAACGGGGAGCAGCCCAGAGUCUGAAUCAGCUUGUGUGUUAGUGGAACGGUCUGGAAAGUCCGACGGUACAGGGUGAUAGUCCCGUACACCAAAAUGCACAGGCUGUGAACUCGAAGAGUAGGGCGGGACACGUGGUAUCCUGUCUGAAUAUGGGGGGACCAUCCUCCAAGGCUAAAUACUCCUGACUGACCGAUAGUGAACCAGUACCGUGAGGGAAAGGCGAAAAGAACCCCGGCGAGGGGAGUGAAAAAGAACCUGAAACCGUGUACGUACAAGCAGUGGGAGCACCUUCGGGUGUGACUGCGUACCUUUUGUAUAAUGGGUCAGCGACUUAUAUUCUGUAGCAAGGUUAACCGUAUAGGGGAGCCGCAGGGAAACCGAGUCUUAACUGGGCGUUAAGUUGCAGGGUAUAGACCCGAAACCCGGUGAUCUAGCCAUGGGCAGGUUGAAGGUUGGGUAACACUAACUGGAGGACCGAACCGACUAAUGUUGAAAAAUUAGCGGAUGACUUGUGGCUGGGGGUGAAAGGCCAAUCAAACCGGGAGAUAGCUGGUUCUCCCCGAAAGCUAUUUAGGUAGCGCCUCGUGAACUCAUCUUCGGGGGUAGAGCACUGUUUCGGCUAGGGGGUCAUCCCGACUUACCAACCCGAUGCAAACUACGAAUACCGAAGAAUGUUAUCACGGGAGACACACGGCGGGUGCUAACGUCCGUCGUGAAGAGGGAAACAACCCAGACCGCCAGCUAAGGUCCCAAAGUCAUGGUUAAGUGGGAAACGAUGUGGGAAGGCACAGACAGCCAGGAUGUUGGCUUAGAAGCAGCCAUCAUUUAAAGAAAGCGUAAUAGCUCACUGGUCGAGUCGGCCUGCGCGGAAGAUGUAACGGGGCUAAACCAUGCACCGAAGCUGCGGCAGCGACACUAUGUGUUGUUGGGUAGGGGAGCGUUCUGUAAGCCUGCGAAGGUGUGCUGUGAGGCAUGCUGGAGGUAUCAGAAGUGCGAAUGCUGACAUAAGUAACGAUAAAGCGGGUGAAAAGCCCGCUCGCCGGAAGACCAAGGGUUCCUGUCCAACGUUAAUCGGGGCAGGGUGAGUCGACCCCUAAGGCGAGGCCGAAAGGCGUAGUCGAUGGGAAACAGGUUAAUAUUCCUGUACUUGGUGUUACUGCGAAGGGGGGACGGAGAAGGCUAUGUUAGCCGGGCGACGGUUGUCCCGGUUUAAGCAUGUAGGCUGGUUGUCCAGGCAAAUCCGGAUAAUCAAGGCUGAGGUGUGAUGACGAGGUACUACGGUGCUGAAGUAACAAAUGCCCUGCUUCCAGGAAAAGCCUCUAAGCAUCAGGUAACAUUAAAUCGUACCCCAAACCGACACAGGUGGUCAGGUAGAGAAUACCAAGGCGCUUGAGAGAACUCGGGUGAAGGAACUAGGCAAAAUGGUGCCGUAACUUCGGGAGAAGGCACGCUGGUGUGUAGGUGAAGUCCCUGCGGAUGGAGCUGAGACCAGUCGAAGAUACCAGCUGGCUGCAACUGUUUAUUAAAAACACAGCACUGUGCAAACACGAAAGUGGACGUAUACGGUGUGACGCCUGCCCGGUGCCGGAAGGUUAAUUGAUGGGGUUAUCCGUAAGGAGAAGCUCUUGAUCGAAGCCCCGGUAAACGGCGGCCGUAACUAUAACGGUCCUAAGGUAGCGAAAUUCCUUGUCGGGUAAGUUCCGACCUGCACGAAUGGCGUAAUGAUGGCCAGGCUGUCUCCACCCGAGACUCAGUGAAAUUGAACUCGCUGUGAAGAUGCAGUGUACCCGCGGCAAGACGGAAAGACCCCGUGAACCUUUACUAUAGCUUGACACUGAACAUUGAGCCUUGAUGUGUAGGAUAGGUGGGAGGCUUUGAAGCGUGGACGCCAGUCUGCGUGGAGCCAACCUUGAAAUACCACCCUUUAAUGUUUGAUGUUCUAACGUUGGCCCCUUAUCGGGGUUGCGGACAGUGUCUGGUGGGUAGUUUGACUGGGGCGGUCUCCUCCCAAAGCGUAACGGAGGAGCACGAAGGUUAGCUAAUCCUGGUCGGACAUCAGGAGGUUAGUGCAAUGGCAUAAGCUAGCUUGACUGCGAGCGUGACGGCGCGAGCAGGUGCGAAAGCAGGUCAUAGUGAUCCGGUGGUUCUGAAUGGAAGGGCCAUCGCUCAACGGAUAAAAGGUACUCCGGGGAUAACAGGCUGAUACCGCCCAAGAGUUCAUAUCGACGGCGGUGUUUGGCACCUCGAUGUCGGCUCAUCACAUCCUGGGGCUGAAGUAGGUCCCAAGGGUAUGGCUGUUCGCCAUUUAAAGUGGUACGCGAGCUGGGUUUAGAACGUCGUGAGACAGUUCGGUCCCUAUCUGCCGUGGGCGCUGGAGAAUUGAGGGGGGCUGCUCCUAGUACGAGAGGACCGGAGUGGACGCAUCACUGGUGUUCGGGUUGUCAUGCCAAUGGCACUGCCCGGUAGCUAAAUGCGGAAGAGAUAAGUGCUGAAAGCAUCUAAGCACGAAACUUGCCCCGAGAUGAGUUCUCCCUGAGACUUUAAGUCUCCUGAAGGAACGUUAAAGACGAUGACGUUGAUAGGCCGGGUGUGUAAGCGCAGCGAUGCGUUGAGCUAACCGGUACUAAUGAACCGUGAGGCUUAACCUU
rnacentral:rRNA from 1 species